UCCAACGCGUUGGGAGCUCUCCCAUAUGGUCGACCUGCAGGCGGCCGCGAAUUCACUAGUGAUUCGUAUUACCGCGGCUGCUGGCACAGAGUUAGCCGGUGCUUAUUCUGUCGGUAACGUCAAAACACUAACGUAUUAGGUUAAUGCCCUUCCUCCCAACUUAAAGUGCUUUACAAUCCGAAGACCUUCUUCACACACGCGGCAUGGCUGGAUCAGGCUUUCGCCCAUUGUCCAAUAUUCCCCACUGCUGCCUCCCGUAGGAGUCUGGACCGUGUCUCAGUUCCAGUGUGACUGAUCAUCCUCUCAGACCAGUUACGGAUCGUCGCCUUGGUGAGCCAUUACCUCACCAACUAGCUAAUCAGAUAUCGGCCGCUCCAGGAGCAUGAGGUCUUGCGAUCCCCCACUUUCAUCCUUAGAUCGUAUGCGGUAUUAGCGUAACUUUCGCUACGUUAUCCCCCACUCCAGGGUACGUUCCGAUAUAUUACUCACCCGUUCGCCACUCGCCGCCAGGUUGCCCCGCGCUGCCGUUCGACUUGCAUGUGUAAGGCAUGCCGCCAGCGUUCAAUCUGAGCCAUGAUCAAACUCUAAUCGAAUUCCCGCGGCCGCCAUGGCGGCCGGGAGCAUG
rnacentral:rRNA from 1 species